GUAGCACUGGUCAGUGUUAUCCAAUAGAAGCAAACAUACGAGAGAGUACAAGCUCUCUUCCAACUAAAUACAAGCUUCUGGGAAAGUCUCUGGAUACUACAGAUUUACAUCUGUGCAGGUAGAAAGUACCGACUCGAAUGAGUGCACGCCAAGAGGAAACUCGGACUUUGGUCUCACUGGUUUCUAUCAAUUCUAUAUAGGCAUGAAAACACAAUGUCAUUGGCAUUGAACCAAAUAGAGCUUACUGACCUGUGUUA
rnacentral:RNase_MRP_RNA from 1 species